rnacentral:rRNA from 1 species
UCGAGAAUAUUUAGCAAUGGGCGAAAGCCUGACUAUGCGACGCCGCGUGAAGGAUGAAGGUCUUCGGAUCGUAAACUUCUUUUGGCAGGGAAGAACAUUUCGUUUCUAAUCAGGCGAAACUGACGGUACCUGCAGAAUAAGCCACGGCCAACUCCGUGCCAGCAGCCGCGGUAAUACGGAGGUGGCAAGCGUUACUCGGAAUUAUUGGGUGUAAAGGGCAAGUAGGCGGUUUAAUAAGUGGGUGGUGAAAUACUCCGGCUCAAUCGGAGAACUGCCUUCCAAACUGUUAGGCUUGAGUGUGCCAGAGGGAAAUGGAAUUCUCGGUGUAAGGGUGAAAUCUGUAGAUAUCGAGAAGAACACCAGCGGCGAAGGCGAUUUCCUGGGACACUACUGACGCUGA